AUACAGAGGGUGCGAGCGUUAAUCGGAAUUACUGGGCGUAAAGCGCGCGUCGGCGGCUACUUAAGUCAGAUGUGAAAUCCCCGGGCUCAACCUGGGAACUGCAUCUGAUACUGGGUAGCUAGAGUUUAGGAGAGGGAAGUAGAAUUUCAGGUGUAGCGGUGAAAUGCAUAGAGAUCUGAAGGAAUACCAGUGGCGAAGGCGGCUUCCUGGCCUAAAACUGACGCUGAGGUGCGAAAGCGUGGGUAGCAAACGGGAUUAGAUACCCUAGUAGUCC
rnacentral:rRNA from 1 species